UACUCGACUGCACAGUCUGUUGCC
rnacentral:siRNA from 1 species